GUGGAUGUGGCUCAGUGGUAGAGUGCUUGCCUUGCAUGCAUGAAGCCCUGGGUUCAAUUCCUCAGUACCACA
rnacentral:tRNA from 1 species